rnacentral:rRNA from 1 species
GAACGUACGCUGGCGGCACGCCUAACACAUGCAAGUCGAACGAAGUAGCAAUACUUAGUGGCAGACGGGUGAGUAACAUGUAGGUAUCUGCCCUUUGGCCUGGAAUAACACGAGGAAACUUGUGCUAAUACCGGAUAAGUCUUUACGGAGAAAGCUUUAUGCACCAUUGGAUGAGCCUGCACUUGAUUAGUUUGUUGGUGGGGUAAUGGCCUACCAAGACUUUGAUCAAUAGCUGAUUUGAGAGGAUGAUCAGCCACAUUGGGACUGAGACACGGCCCAAACUCCUACGGGAGGCAGCAGUGGGGAAUCUUGCACAAUGGAGGAAACUCUGAUGCAGCGAUGCCGCGUGAGUGAAGAAGGCCCUUGGGUUGUAAAGCUCUUUCGUCGGGGAAGAAAAUGACUGUACCCGAAUAAGAAGGUCCGGCUAACUUCGUGCCAGCAGCCGCGGUAAUACGAAGGGACCUAGCGUAGUUCGGAAUUACUGGGCUUAAAGAGUUCGUAGGUGGUUGAAAAAGUUGGUGGUGAAAUCCCAGAGCUUAACUCUGGAACUGCCAUCAAAACUUUUCAGCUAGAGUUUGAUAGAGGAAAGCAGAAUUUCUAGUGUAGAGGUGAAAUUCGUAGAUAUUAGAAAGAAUACCAAUUGCGAAGGCAGCUUUCUGGAUCAUUACUGACACUGAGGAACGAAAGCAUGGGUAGCGAAGAGGAUUAGAUACCCUCGUAGUCCAUGCCGUAAACGAUGUGUGUUAGACGUUGGAAAUUUAUUUUCAGUGUCGCAGCGAAAGCGAUAAACACACCGCCUGGGGAGUACGACCGCAAGGUUAAAACUCAAAUGAAUUGACGGGGACCCGCACAAGUAGUGGAGCAUGUGGUUUAAUUCGAAGAUACGCGCAGAACCUUACCAACACUUGACAUGUUCGUCGCGACUCUAAGAGAUUAGAGUUUUCGGUUCGGCCGGACGAAACACAGGUGCUGCAUGGCUGUCGUCAGCUCGUGUCGUGAGAUGUUGGGUUAAGUCCCGCAACGAGCGCAACCCUCACUUUUAGUUGCCAUCAUUAAGUUGGGCACUCUGAAAGAACUGCCAGUGAUAAGCUGGAGGAAGGUGGGGAUGACGUCAAGUCCUCAUGGCCCUUACGUGUUGGGCUACACACGUGCUACAAUGGUAUCUACAACAGGAAGCAAGGCGGCGACGUCAAGCAAAUCCUUAAAAGAUACCUCAGUUCGGAUUGCACUCUGCAACUCGAGUGCAUGAAGCUGGAAUUACUAGUAAUCGUGGAUCAGCGUGCCACGGUGAAUGCGUUCCCGGGUCUUGUACUCACCGCCCGUC